rnacentral:tRNA from 1 species
GAUGGACAUUGCAUACGGCUUUUACGUAUCCGGCGCUGGGAUUGCCGGGGCGGCGGGGCUGCUUGGAAUCAUAUUGCUGUUCAAUCUGCUGCUCAACC